CUUGCAGGCCAUUGACAUCCCUAUACCAUUAUACAAAGCUUGACAGUAGCCAUCAUGUCCCGGGCGAUAAAUGAAUAACGCCCAUUGUCAAUCGCGUGAGCUGUCAAAACUGUCAAGCAUUGCUUUGUUUAAUGUUUACACUUUCGCUAUGAACAAUGUUGAUCUCAUUCAAUUCCAACAAAGUUAGAAAUGUUCGAAAAGCCAACAGAUAGUAAAUGUUUGCCAGUAUCAACGUCGUUUAAGUGAUAAAGUCUUGUUUCGAGGCUCACAUUUGGAGAAAAACGGCAUUCGUUGAAGCAGUUCCAGAGGAGAAAGCGAUGGUGAACAAAUGGAAUUCGAUCCACAUAAAUGCUGAUGGAUUGCUGGAUAUGGUUAUGCUCCAGCCUUCGAGGCUCAGUUUGAAAUAUUUGUUGCGGUUUCAACAGGAUGUGAGGAUGUGAAAUGCACGUCCGGAUGUUUUCGAAUGUUAAAUAAAUGAAACCCCCAGUGUUUAGUAAAAAUAUAUAGUGAAACGUGUUAAAAUUGAA